GGGCCACUUCUAGCUUCUUCCAUGUGCGGCAGUAAUGUUUAUUUUUAUACUCUGUCACAUAUUGUCUUAAUUUCUUUGUGUGACUCUCAUCACAAGUCAAGAAGAAGAAGAAGAAGAAGAUGGUGGAAUGAAUCAAAGAAGAGCGAGAGCGUACACAUUCAGCCAGCGAUCGUCACCUAUGCAUCAUCCAUGUUAUCUCUCCUCACACUCUGUCCUCCUUUCGUAAUUCUUUCUACUGUAAAUGGUAUACAAUGACGGCGGCUGGCUGAUGGAUCACUUCUCAACACUUUCCACUACUUUAACAAUAACGCUGGCUUUCUUAAUCUACUCUUCUCGCUUGCAAAAUUAUCAUCGCUGUUUAUGCUGCUGCUGCAUUUCAAGCCGCACUUCACCUUCUUCUUCCCGCUCCAACUGUUUGACAUAGGGUAUAGAGCUUUCUUCUGGACAGUCCCAGCUCUUUUCAAUCAUUUUCUGCCUUACUUCUACGUGAUAUUUCUUACGAUCCUUCUUUUCGAUCGAGCAAAAAGGGACAAUGAUCGAUGCAGAACCAAGUAUGGCAAGUACUGGAAACUCUAUUGCGACAGGGUACCUUACAGAAUCAUUCCAGGAAUAUAUAUAUUGAAGUGUGAUCAUUGAUGAUGACUUGCUGGAACUUCCCUUUGGAGCCGAGCCAUGUUUACCUUUGUUGUUUAAUUACUUCCUCUGAUUGGUGUACUUUAGAUGUAAUUGUAGACUAUAUAUAGCUGUAACUGUAAGAAACAAUUCACUAAUUAUUGAAUUCUAUUUUGUAAGACAUAUAUAGACUUGGUUCUAGA